GACGAACGCUGGCGGCGUGCUUAACACAUGCAAGUCGAACGGAAAGGCCCCUUUGGGGGUACUCGAGUGGCGCACGGGUGUGUAACACGUGAGUAACCUUCCCUUGACUUCGGGAUAACUUCAGGAAACUGGGGCUAAUACCGGCUAGGAAUCCUUGCUGCAUGGUGGGGGUUGGAAAGCUUCGGCGGUUUUGGAUGGACUCGCGGCUUAUCAGCUUGUUGGUGGGGUAGUGGCUUACCAAGGCUUUGACGGGUAGCCGGCCUGAGAGGGCGACCGGCCACAUUGGGACUGAGAUACGGCCCAGACUCCUACGGGAGGCAGCAGUGGGGAAGAUUGCACAAUGGGCGGAAGCCUGAUGCAGCAACGCCGCGGGCGGGAUGACGGCCUUCGGGUUGGAAACCGCUUUCAGCAGGGGCGAAGCUUGUGGUGACGGUACCUGCAGAAGAAGCACCGGCUAACUACGUG
rnacentral:rRNA from 1 species